UUCCCAUCUUAUAGCUGCUACAUACUAUAACAUAGGAUUUCAAAAGUUCCUGAUAAUCAAAAAACAAAUUGUAACACAGUGCAGCUAAAGGGGUGGGAGGGUUUAUAAAGGAUUACUAAGGAAGAUAAGAGAAACCAUUGAAACUAAAGCAGAGGAAUGAGGGAAAAAGAAGAUAAAAGAAAGCGAAUGUUAAGUCCCCCCAAAGCAAAAAAGGUCUCACAUGCACAAAUCAAAAAACUGGUUAAACUUAUUGAUCAGAAUCUCAAUCUAACCAUAGUUUGAACAUCUGAGCAGAACCCAAAAAGCAAAAAGGAAAAAAAAAUAAACUUCACAAUCCAACAAAAGAGUCAAAGGAGAAGCUAGUUAAAUGAUUUUCAAUGUUCAUGUCAGAGUUAAAACAGAAUGGUGUGCUAUCAACCUUAGUAUUGAUGACUACAAGUUUUAUCCAACAGAGCAUAUUCUUAUAAUUCAUUACGCAAACUCAAGCUUCUAGCAGAGAUAUUCUCAUUAUGCAAACUCAAGCUUCGAGCAAAGAAAUAACUAAAUGAGAACAGGAUUUAAAGGAGGAAUCAUUAAGGUAAAGCUGUUACCCGGCUUGCACAUAUAGCAUCCCCACCAUAUCAUCAUAUAUUUGGAAUUACGUAAUGGCACAUGUUCCAUCUUCAUCAGAUGAUGUUUUGGUAUCAAAUUCAGACAUGAAUAUCCAUUUCCAAUAACUUCAAUGUGCAGGAUUGUGAACGGCUCUGAGGCUUUUUCACUUUCAUUGUUGACACUUGCAGGCAAGAGAUUUGCCAACUUUGAUAUCACCUCAUGCAGUCUAUUUAUGUAUCUUAGAAUUGAUGCCAUAUUCUAUGAAGUACAUAUAAUUAAAAAUUGUAACAACUAAUAAUACAAAAUCAUCUGCAUAAUUUAAAAGGAAAAAAUAAUGCAAAAAUAUUAGAUUGCUUACAAGCCAAGGAUGUAGCAAGUGACUUCCUAGUCCAUCAAGGCAUUUAUUUGGGGUUGGAUCAUUCUUCUUACACUCGAGAAAUGCCACAUCUCCUUGAAGCAGCUCAUUGAUAUGUGCUUUGAUGACUCAGACAGCUAAAGGGCUUAAAGAUUACUAAAGGAGAGAAUAGGUCCUGUUGAAACUGUCUUCAGUGGACUGAUAAUCCUCUAGGCAAAUAAUUUUGUUGAGCUGCUCAUUGUUUCUUAGAUGUGAAUUGCAAUGUUGAUCUUCUAUCUUCCCCACUUCCCAUCCAUGUUCUAGAUGCUCAGUGGCGCAGGCAGCAAAAACUAACGAUGCUUGAUCUUUUGUUACCAAUAAUCUCCACAAGAACAAACCCCAUCUCGAAAAUGAUGGUAUCUGAUGGGAUCUCUGAUCACAAUAAUACGAUGCUCCAUCUUUGCUACAAGUUUAGCAAAGAGAUGACAGUCUCCACAUAUCCUGAGGUUUUUUCUGAUCCUAAUAGUUUGCUCUUUGGGCAAACUCAUCAAACCAAAUACAAGUGCGAGUUUCUCACUGUGGUAUUGCAGGGAGUGUUCUCUUUGCUCUUCCCCUUCAAGAUCUUGCAAGACAAAAUUUGUGUCUGGAACAUAACCCACUCCCUUAAGCUUAUGAAUCAACUGGUUCAGCUGUUUGUUGAUCUCAUCGAGUUGAGGAUGUGAAUUGUCUCCUAAAAUGAAUGCAUGAAUCUGCUUAUUCACUUCAACCCAGCUACAUCCUGGUUCUUUCCUAAUUCCCAUGUCAUUCAUGGUCCUCCUAAUUUGUGUAACAUCAUCCCACCUUUGAGUAUUUGCAUAAAUAUUAGACAACAGUAUAUAGGUUCCUGCAUCUUGAGGAUACAGCCUUAGAAUUUGUUUGGCAGCAUAUAUAGCCAGAUCCACAUUCCGGUGCACCCUGCAUGCACCAAGCAAAGUUCUCCAUGUCACAGCAUCUGGUCCACAUUCUAUUUCAUUUAUCAACUCCACUGCAUCAUUAAGUUUCCCUGCUCUUCCAAGAAGAUCAAUCAUGCAACUGUAGUGUUCCCUUCCUGGAUCGACCCCAAAAAGCUUCUUCAUAGAUCGGAAAUAGUACCAGCCAGCUUCUAGAAGCCCAGCAUGGCUGCAAGCAAAUAGCACUCCCAGAAUGGUAAUGUGGUUUGGUUUUGUCCCUGAAGCUUUCAUGGACUCAAACAACCUCAAUGCCUCCCUGCUGUAACCAUUUUGCGCCAACCCUGCAAUCAUGGUACUCCAAGAGAUUACAUCCUUCACCAUCAUCCGAGUGAAAACAGUGUUGGCAUCUUCCAGACUGCCACACUUGCAAUACAUAUCCAAAAGAGCAUUAUUUAGGAUCAAAUCUUGAUCAUACUUGAAGACAUGAACAUGAACUUGUCUCCCCAAUUCUAACAGCGCUAACCCAGUACAGGCUCUCAAGACACUCGUCAGCGUUGCUUGAUCAGCUAGAAAACGAGCUCGCUUCAUUCUCUUGAAAAGAUUUAAAGCUUCAUCGCCAUCGCUGUUUUGAGCAAACCCAGCAAUGAUAGAGUUCCAAACAACCAAAUCUUCUGUCGCCAUCUCAUUGAAAACGCGCAACGCAUUCUCGGACUGGUCCCAUUUCGAAUAUAUAUCAAUAAGAGCACUCCUAACGUAGAUAUCAGAAUCCAACCCACUCUUUAUUAUAUUAGCAUGGAGCUGCCUAAGAUUAGCCAAUCCGUCGCAUGCCCUCAAAACGGAAGAAUAGGUGAACAUAUUUGGCUUCACACCUUCCCUAAGCAUCGAAAUCAGAAACUCCAAGGCCUUGUCGUUGAGCUUAGCAUUAGCGUAAGCUGAUAUCAUCGUGGUCCAAGACACAAAAUUUCUUUCAGGCAUUUGGUCGAACAACGCCCGUGCAUCAUCUAACAUAUUAAAUUUAACAUACAUACUCAUUAAAACAUUGAUGAGAAACGUUUUAGGCUGGUGUCCACUAGAGAAAAGGUGCUUAUGGACGCGUUUUCCCUGUUCAACGGCACCGCGGGCCCAGCAGCACUUGAUGAGCUCAGAAUAGGUGAUAGAGUCAGCCCAAAUUCCAUGUUUAUGCAUUGCGUCCAUGGCUUCCAUGGCUCUAGGCAGGUUUCGUUGAUAGCAAAACUGGGUGAAUUCAUGAAGUAAGGACGAAGAUGGGAUGGGCAAAAUGCAGGACGACGUAUGAUAGGAGAGAAAGAAAAAGGAUUUGAUAGCGAAGCCGGUUGAUUUACGCAUAGUUUUUCCCUUGCAAAACCUUUCUUCAUGGCUUAAAGCUUAACUGCGGCAACUUUCUUCCGAAACCUUCAUGUUAA
rnacentral:misc_RNA from 1 species